rnacentral:rRNA from 1 species
GAUCCUGGCUCAGGAUGAACGCUAGCGGCAGGCCUAAUACAUGCAAGUCGGACGGGAUCCAUCGGAGAGCUUGCUCGAAGAUGGUGAGAGUGGCGCACGGGUGCGUAACGCGUGAGCAACCUACCUCUAUCAGGGGGAUAGCCUCUCGAAAGAGAGAUUAACACCGCGUAAUAUCAACAGUUCGCAUGUUCGGUUGAUUAAAUAUUUAUAGGAUAGAGAUGGGCUCGCG